UACGUAGGGUGCAAGCGUUGUCCGGAAUUAUUGGGCGUAAAGAGCUCGUAGGCGGUUCGUCGCGUCGGCUGUGAAAUCCCGAGGCUCAACCUCGGGUCUGCAGUCGAUACGGGCGGACUGGAGUUCGGCAGGGGAGACUGGAAUUCCUGGUGUAGCGGUGAAAUGCGCAGAUAUCAGGAGGAACACCGGUGGCGAAGGCGGGUCUCUGGGCCGAUACUGACGCUGAGGAGCGAAAGCGUGGGGAGCGAUCCGG
rnacentral:rRNA from 1 species